CCUUUCUUUCCCUUUAUUCCUUUCCCUCCAUUUCUUUCUCUCCAUUCCUUUCUCUCUCUAUUUCUUUCGCUUUCCAGCUGCAGAGUCGGAGCCGGAGGAUCAGGAACUGAAUCCCAAAGGGAGAGGCCCCGUGGCUGUUUUGCCGAUAACGCACUGGGAAAGGCUCUUCCCUUUUCCCGCUUUUCCGUAAAUUCCCGAAUUUCCCGCGGAUAACGGGGCAGCUGUGGCAGCAAGGAGACCCCUCAAGAUCCCGAAAGGAGAGCGCAAUUCCUUGGAGCAGCACUCCAAUAAAUAAUUAUAAUAUCAUAUCAUAUCAGGCUGGGAACUGCCCUGCGUUCCGCCUUCUUCCCGUGGAAUGGAGAUUCCUCCUUUUCUGGAGUUUAUCCCAAAAACACCCAAACGUUCUCCUGGGAAUGCCGGCGGUGAGGUCUGGAGCCUCCUGCCCUGGAGGUGUCCAGGGAAUUCCUGGAUGUGGCACCCAGGUGAAGAUCUGAGCUGAAGGAAAUGAAACUCUUCGAAAUCAGGACGAUCCCAGCCAGGAAUCCAUGAAUUUUCAGGAUUUUGGAUGUCCAGGAGGAAAUCUUGACAGGAUGUUGAGUCACAAUCUUGGAAUUUUUAUUUAAAACCUGAUUAAAAUGGAAAUAUUUCCUGGAAUGCAGCAGAGGUGAAGAUCUGAGCUGAAGGAAAGGAAACUCUUCCAAAUCUGGACAAUCGCGGUCGGGAAUCCAUGAAUUUUCAGGAUUUUGGAUGUGCAGGAGGAAAUCUAGAUGGGAUAUUGA